rnacentral:rRNA from 1 species
AACGAACGCUGGCGGCAUGCCUAACACAUGCAAGUCGAACGAGAACUUCGGGUCUAGUGGCGCACGGGUGCGUAACGCGUGGGAACCUGCCCUUAGGUUCGGAAUAACUCCCCGAAAGGGGUGCUAAUACCGGAUAAUGUCUUCGGACCAAAGAUUUAUUGCCUUUGGUUGGGCCCGCGUUGGAUUAGCUAGUUGGUAGGGUAAAAGCCUACCAAGGCGACGAUCCAUAGCUGGUUUGAGAGGAUGAUCAGCCACACUGAGACUGAGACACGGCCCAGACUCCUACGGGAGGCAGCAGUGGGGAAUAUUGGACAGUGGGCGAAAGCCUGAUCCAGCAAUGCCGCGUAAGUGAUGAAGGCCUUAGGGUUGUAAAGCUCUUUUACCCAGGAUGAUAAUGACGGUACCGAGAGAGUAAGCUCCGGCUAACUCCGUG